UACGUAGGGUGCAAGCGUUGUUCGGAAUUACUGGGCGUAAAGGGCGCGUAGGCGGCCUGUUAAGUCACACGUGAAAUCCCUCGGCUCAACCGGGGAACUGCGUGUGAUACUGGCGGGCUCGAGUCCGGAAGAGGCGAGUGGAAUUCCCGGUGUAGCGGUGAAAUGCGCAGAUAUCGGGAGGAACACCAAUGGCGAAGGCAGCUCGCUGGGACGUGACUGACGCUGAGACGCGAAAGCGUGGGGAGCAAACAGG
rnacentral:rRNA from 1 species